rnacentral:rRNA from 1 species
GGGUUGUGAGGUUAAGCGACUAAGCGUACACGGUGGAUGCCCUGGCAGUCAGAGGCGAUGAAGGACGUGCUAAUCUGCGAUAAGCGUCGGUAAGGUGAUAUGAACCGUUAUAACCGGCGAUUUCCGAAUGGGGAAACCCAGUGUGUUUCGACACACUAUCAUUAACUGAAUCCAUAGGUUAAUGAGGCGAACCGGGGGAACUGAAACAUCUAAGUACCCCGAGGAAAAGAAAUCAACCGAGAUUCCCCCAGUAGCGGCGAGCGAACGGGGAGCAGCCCAGAGCCUGAAUCAGUGUGUGUGUUAGUGGAAGCGUCUGGAAAGGCGCGCGAUACAGGGUGACAGCCCCGUACACAAAAAUGCACAUGCUGUGAGCUCGAUGAGUAGGGCGGGACACGUGGUAUCCUGUCUGAAUAUGGGGGGACCAUCCUCCAAGGCUAAAUACUCCUGACUGACCGAUAGUGAACCAGUACCGUGAGGGAAAGGCGAAAAGAACCCCGGCGAGGGGAGUGAAAAAGAACCUGAAACCGUGUACGUACAAGCAGUGGGAGCACGCUUAGGCGUGUGACUGCGUACCUUUUGUAUAAUGGGUCAGCGACUUAUAUUCUGUAGCAAGGUUAACCGAAUAGGGGAGCCGAAGGGAAACCGAGUCUUAACUGGGCGUUAAGUUGCAGGGUAUAGACCCGAAACCCGGUGAUCUAGCCAUGGGCAGGUUGAAGGUUGGGUAACACUAACUGGAGGACCGAACCGACUAAUGUUGAAAAAUUAGCGGAUGACUUGUGGCUGGGGGUGAAAGGCCAAUCAAACCGGGAGAUAGCUGGUUCUCCCCGAAAGCUAUUUAGGUAGCGCCUCGUGAAUUCAUCUCCGGGGGUAGAGCACUGUUUCGGCAAGGGGGUCAUCCCGACUUACCAACCCGAUGCAAACUGCGAAUACCGGAGAAUGUUAUCACGGGAGACACACGGCGGGUGCUAACGUCCGUCGUGAAGAGGGAAACAACCCAGACCGCCAGCUAAGGUCCCAAAGUCAUGGUUAAGUGGGAAACGAUGUGGGAAGGCCCAGACAGCCAGGAUGUUGGCUUAGAAGCAGCCAUCAUUUAAAGAAAGCGUAAUAGCUCACUGGUCGAGUCGGCCUGCGCGGAAGAUGUAACGGGGCUAAACCAUGCACCGAAGCUGCGGCAGCGACACUAUGUGUUGUUGGGUAGGGGAGCGUUCUGUAAGCCUGUGAAGGUGUACUGUGAGGUAUGCUGGAGGUAUCAGAAGUGCGAAUGCUGACAUAAGUAACGAUAAAGCGGGUGAAAAGCCCGCUCGCCGGAAGACCAAGGGUUCCUGUCCAACGUUAAUCGGGGCAGGGUGAGUCGACCCCUAAGGCGAGGCCGAAAGGCGUAGUCGAUGGGAAACAGGUUAAUAUUCCUGUACUUGGUGUUACUGCGAAGGGGGGACGGAGAAGGCUAUGUUGGCCGGGCGACGGUUGUCCCGGUUUAAGCGUGUAGGCUGGUUUUCCAGGCAAAUCCGGAAAAUCAAGGCUGAGGCGUGAUGACGAGGCACUACGGUGCUGAAGCAACAAAUGCCCUGCUUCCAGGAAAAGCCUCUAAGCAUCAGGUAACAUCAAAUCGUACCCCAAACCGACACAGGUGGUCAGGUAGAGAAUACCAAGGCGCUUGAGAGAACUCGGGUGAAGGAACUAGGCAAAAUGGUGCCGUAACUUCGGGAGAAGGCACGCUGAUAUGUAGGUGAAGUCCCUCGCGGAUGGAGCUGAAAUCAGUCGAAGAUACCAGCUGGCUGCAACUGUUUAUUAAAAACACAGCACUGUGCAAACACGAAAGUGGACGUAUACGGUGUGACGCCUGCCCGGUGCCGGAAGGUUAAUUGAUGGGGU